GAGGAAUAUUGGUCAAUGGGCGGGAGCCUGAACCAGCCAAGUCGCGUGAGGGAAGACGGUCCUACGGAUUGUAAACCUCUUUUGCCGGGGAGCAACGGGGUCCUUGCGAGGGCCCACUGAGAGUACCCGGAGAAAAAGCAUCGGCUAACUCCGUUCCAGCAGCCGCGGUAAUACGGAGGAUGCGAGCGUUAUCCGGAUUUAUUGGGUUUAAAGGGUGCGUAGGCGGGCUGUUAAGUCAGCGGUCAAAUGUCGGGGCUCAACCCCGGCCUGCCGUUGAAACUGGCGGCCUCGAGUGGGCGAGAAGUAUGCGGAAUGCGUGGUGUAGCGGUGAAAUGCAUAGAUAUCACGCAGAACUCCGAUUGCGAAGGCAGCAUACCGGCGCCCUACUGACGCUGAGGCACGAAAGCGUGGGUAUCGAACAGG
rnacentral:rRNA from 1 species